rnacentral:rRNA from 1 species
CCUACGGGGGGCAGCAGUGAGGAAUAUUGGUCAAUGGGCGAAACCCUGAACCAGCCAAGUCGCGUGAAGGAUGAAGGAUCUAUGGUUUGUAAACUUCUUUUAUAUGGGAAUAAACUGCGGAACGUGUUCCUUUUUGUAUGUACCAUAUGAAUAAGCCUCGGCUAACUCCGUGCCAGCAGCCGCGGUAAUACGGAGGUUGCGAGCGUUAUCCGGAUUUAUUGGGUUUAAAGGGUGCGUAGGCGGUUAAGUAAGUCAGCUGUGAAAGGUUGUGGCUCAACCAUAAAAUUGCAGUUGAAACUGGGUGACUUGAGUGCAUGUGAGGUAGGCGGAAUGCGUAGUGUAGCGGUGAAAUGCAUAGAUAGUACGAAGAACUCCGAUUGCGAAGGCAGCUUACUAAACUAUAACUGACACUGAGGCUCGAAAGCGUGGGGAUCAAACAGGAUUAGAUACCCCGGUAGUC